GUCUCUGUGGCGAAAUUGUUAGCGCGUUCGGCUGUUAACCGAAAGGUUGGUGGUUCGAGCCCACCCAGGGACG
rnacentral:tRNA from 1 species